GUUUUCCAUGUACUGAGUUUCCUCACGAAUGUAUGUAGUAAAAACAAUGCCUCUGAUUUAGUUCAGUGAGGUCAGCAGGUCCUUCUUCCAUAUAUAUUAGGUUAAUCCAUAUCCAAUGGCCACUUUUGUAGAUGAAUUGGUCAAACAUUAGCAAUUCCAUAAGAUUCACUCUAAUACCUACAAUAUUGUAUUGAUCACUGACUUCCUGUUUAUAGAAUGCUGUUAAAUAGCUAUGGAAAAUAUGAUCCUUCCAUAUAUAAACACACACACACGCAAAACUUAAUUUUGUCCAUUGAAAUCAACUCAGUUUGACUUUCAGCUUAAUUCUCAGCUUUCUCAUUCCUUCCUGAAUUCCAUUCACCUCCUGGAAGCUAUGACAUGAAGUAGAAUUUGUCUGGUCCCUGACAGUCCUCUAUCCACACACCUUCCACUGAAAUGAUCAUUUUCCUUUGCUUUUUGUUGUUAUGUUAGUAUGUCCCCUUAUGCCCUUUCCUGGCCACUGUUAGGGGUGAAUUGUGUCUCCCUAAGUCUUAGUACCCCGUUAUCUGUGAACAUUACAUUAUUUGGAAAUAGAGUCUCUGCAGAUGUAAUUAGUAAGUAUGAAGUAAUUAGGGUGGGCUCUAAUCUAACAUGGCGUGUGUCCUUAUAAGAGGAAAAUUCAGACACAGAGGCAAAUGCCCUGUGAUGACAGAAGCAGAGAACCGAGUGAUGUGGCUACAAGCCAAGAGCACCAAGGAUUGGCAGCUACCAACAGAAGAGUUCUUCCCUGCAAGUUUCAGAGGUGGUAUGGCCCUGAUGACAUCUUCAUUUUGGACUUCUAACCUCCAGAUCUGUGAGACAACACAUUUCUGUUAUUUCAGGUCACCAGAUUUGUGGCGCUUUGUUACUGGCAGUCCUGGGAAACUAAUAUAGUCUCUUACUGAGUUAUAUCUUAUUUUAUGAUAUCCUGAGUUUGUGUUCAUUGUCCCCUUUGUGAUAAACAGGAAGUCUCAUGCAAAGGGCUGGUGGAGGAGGUGGGGAGGCAAUGUCAGGGCAGCGGGAAAGGAAUCAGACAUGGUGAACACUGGAACCCAGAAAAAGCAUCCAUGCUGUUGUUACUGUAGUUCUACAGGCUGGUGCUGAUAACACGAUUCAACCAGAAAUGGAGAGAAGAGGGUGGUGUCAAUACCCUCCAGCCCAAACCCACCAGGAAUGCGUCUGUGUAGCUGGACCAGCUGGACUGUUUACUCAGCCCUCAAGAGAACACACAGCAUUCUCCUUAAGAGAAUAUUAGAAAGAACCUCUUUUAGGAUGUGGGCUUUGGUUGGGUGAUUUGGGAGAGAGUCUAAGAAAGUGGGAUUUCACUCUAGGUUGGAUGCCAUCAGAAAAUGGGGGAAAUUCUUUGACUGCAUGUCUCAAUAGUUUAUCUGUAGGGAGGGCAAACCAGAGCAGACAUAAAGCUGUAACUGGAAGGGAGUUCCCGCUGUGGUGCAGUGGGUUCAGAAUCUGACUGCGGCAGCUCAUGUUGCUGCAGAGAUGCAGAUUUAUCCCCAGCCUAGCAUAGUGAGUUAAGGAUCUGGUGUUCCCAUAGCAGGGGUGUAGUUCACACCUGCAGUUCGGAUUCAAGCCCUGGCCCAGGAAUUUCCACAUGCCAUGGGUGCAGGGGAAAAAAAAAAGCUGUAACUGGUAAAGCAGAAAUAGUCCCUCCUUUUAGUGAAAAUGGAGGUUUUCAUGGGUUUCACAGUGAUUUUUUUUUCUUCUUACUUUGUCAUGGUCUUAGGCCAACAUUGACAUUCCGUGAGAUUGCCUUAUUCAGCAGAACAACAGUGACCCAAACAAGCUUGUAAUGACCUUGAGGCCAAUUUCCAGAGGGAGCUUCUUCCCUACCCUCUUCCUCAAUGUCUACAGAGCUAUUUAAAAUGUAAAAAUCAGCAAAUAGCCUCGAUAGCUUUGCUAGGAAAGGGGAAAGAACUAGAGUUCAUGAAGCCUUAGGCACUGGUCCUGGCCAGCAGAUUGACUGCAUGUGCUAGGAACCAAGUUUGGGAAUAUGGGUGGAAGAGCAGGUUUGUAGCCAGUGAGGAAGAGCUCCGUUUUAGCCACUCUGAGCUUGAAGUAGUCCAGCCAGUUUUCAAUCUCAUACCCUGGAAGUCGGCAUUGUGUGCACAGAAAACAAAACUCACUGAUAUUAAAAUACCUCCUGAAACAUUUGCACAGCGCGUGCCAAACAAGGACAUCUAGAUAUUAAUAAUGCCUUCACCUGUAUUUUGUCCACAAAGUGGCAUGUCUAAGAAUUUUUAUUUCUCAUCCAAACCCUCCUGUAUUACAACCAUUCCUUCCUUGUACUUCGAGGUGCAUAGAACGCACCCCUCCCUUAGCCCCGACACAACUUCUUACUGCCUUUCAAAAUGGAAAUAAGCUCAGAGUCAAUUCCAUUUUCCCGGCUCCCCAUUCUCUGUGGGUUAGAACUGUCCCAGUUAAUUUAAAGCCAAGGCAGAUGGUAAUUCAUCUUUGGCAUUCAAUGCAGAUGCUAAAGUUCUGUUCCAGAACCCGAGUCAGCUAGCAAGGAGAGAGGGGUUACAGGCAGCCUGCUUAAAUAAACGCUUGAGAUGUGAAACUUCCCCAAGGCUCAGCAGUCUCACCCACCUGUCCACGCUGCCAGCAAUGUCACUCUCCAGGAGGCUGAAGGUUGAGAAACUAGGUAGAAGGCAGGAGUGCAAUAGUGGGUUUAGUAAGAGGACACUGAGGCUGGCAUGAAAGCCCUGGCAGGUGCCCAGAGGAGAACUCUGAAUGAACACGACUCAACAGGCUUCCUCAGGAAAGUGUAUCUGGAAAAUACAUUGGAAUAUAUUUCCAAGUGUGUGAAAGACAGUUCCCAGCACAUAGUACUCACUAAGUCUUUGCUGAAGAAAUGAAUGAAAAGCUUGGCUCCAGGUAGCAAGUAGUUCUCAUCUGAGCCCUUACAGUUCCCUUCGAUUUUACCAGGGUGCUCUUUCCUUUCAUAUAGACACAUGAGAAAUGGCACCAUGAAAUAGACCUGCUUCUUGGGAAACACUUAAAAAGCUACCAGUUCUUGGAGUUCACAUUGUGGUGCAGCAGAAACAAAUAUGACUAGCAACCAUGAGGUUGAGGGUUCGAUCCCUGGCCUCACUCAGUGGGUUAAGGAUCUGGUGUGUAUGUGAGCUGUGGUAUAGGUCACAGACAUGGCUCGGAUCCCGCAUUGCUGUGGCUGUGGUGUAGGCUGGCGGCUACAGAUCCGAUUUGACCCCUAGCCUGGGAACCUCUAUAUGCCACGGGUGCGGCACUAAAAAUAAAUAAAAAGUAAAUAAAAUAAAAAACUACCAGUUCCUAGAAGUAAACUCAUUCAAAUAUUCAAGGCCAGGUUCUGCAUUCUUGGAUGCAUUUCAAGAACUUAAUCACUGAGAAUAACAUAACUAAUAAAAUCCGUCUAUUUAAAAUGUCCUACUGCAUCUAAUAAAAAAUGAUACACAAUAACUUAUUUAUAAAACAGAAGUAAAUUCAUAGAUUUCAAAGCCAAUCUUAUGCUUACCAUAGGAGAAACCGCUUGCGGGGAGGGAAGAAUUGGGAGGGUGGGAAUAACACACACACACUAUUGUAUAAAAUAGAUGAUUAACAAGAACCUGCUGUAGACCAUAGGAAAAUCUACUCAAUAGUUUGUAAUAACCAAUAUGGGAAAAAAGAAUGGAUAUAUUUCUCUGUAUAACUGAUGCACUUUGCUAUACACCUGAAACUAAUACAGCAUUAUAAGUCAACUGUACUCCAACAGAAAUUUUUUUAGUGUCCUACUGCCUAGGGCCACGACCAAAAGAACAAAGGGUUCCUUCAUUCAAAAUUGUAACUAAAGCCUACUGACUGGGUUUUGCCUUAUGGUCUUGAAAGUCAGAGACCCUCUAUCAUUGCAGGCCUCCCCAAAGCGAAGCAGCAUAUGGCAUAGGAGCCCUACCUGUGGGAGGGCCUUGCAAGGGGGUUGGAGUCCUUGGAAGUUGGGGCUUUGCCAGGAGUCAAGGCCCUUCCUGUCUGGGCUUCCUCUUUGCAGAGCUAAGUACUCAGCAAAAUCCAAAAAUGCUCUAGAAUGAGUCUUCUGGCUACAUCAUCAACAUCUAUUCCAUCCAUCCCUCUUCCACUGAUAGCGAUGGAAAUGUCCUCACCCUUUGUUCCUGGAGAAGGGGAGUGAGAGCUUCUUAUUCUAAAUCAAUCAGCGAAAUCUCAUCAUCUUUGCCUUGGUGUUUAGCCUAGGGGCACUCAGGACAUAAAAUGGACCAAUCAGAGGGAAACUCAGAACUUCUCUCUCAUGGUAAGAUCAAAUGAGAGGCCUCCUUGGAAGAAUGCAGCCCUGGGAGAUGCUGGCAGCCAUCCUAUGACCGUGAGGGCACGAUCCUCAGGGGACAGCCAGUUCCAGAAAGGUGGCAAGUCAGCUCUGGUGACUAGGCAGUGCAGCUGAAGCAUUUAGUAGUUCUCAAAUGUUCACUGGCAUUAACCAAUAGUUUCUUUAUUUUUCAGAUGAGUUGGAGUCAGCUUCUGUAUAUCAAUUUAUUUAUUUAGAACAACCACUUUUAAAAAUGAUACAUACCUUUCAAAAAGUUUUUUUUAAAUAAACUUUA
rnacentral:lncRNA from 1 species